rnacentral:rRNA from 1 species
UACGGAGGGGGCUAGCGUUGUCCGAAGUUACUGGGCGUAAAGCGCGUGUAGGCGGCUCGAUAAGUCCGGUGUGAAACCUUGGGGCUCAACCCCAAGCCUGCACUGGAUACUGCCGAGCUAGAGUCCGGGAGGGGAGAGCGGAAUUCCUAGUGUAGCGGUGAAAUGCGCAGAUAUUAGGAAGAACACCGGUGGCGAAGGCGGCUACUCUGGAACGGUACUGACGCUGAGACGCGAAAGCGUGGGGAGCGAACAGG